rnacentral:rRNA from 1 species
UACAGAGGUCUCAAGCGUUGUUCGGAUUCAUUGGGCGUAAAGGGUGCGUAGGUGGCGGGGCAAGUUGGAUGUGAAGUCCCGGAGCUUAACUCCGGAACUGCAUUCAAUACUGCCUUGCUGGAGUACUGGAGAGGAGAUUGGAAUUUACGGUGUAGCAGUGAAAUGCGUAGAUAUCGUAAGGAAGACCAGUGGCGAAGGCGGAUCUCUGGACAGUUACUGACACUGAGGCACGAAGGCCAGGGGAGCAAACGGG